rnacentral:rRNA from 1 species
CCUACGGGAGGCAGCAGUGAGGAAUAUUGGUCAAUGGCCGGAAGGCUGAACCAGCCAAGCCGCGUGAAGGACGAAGGUGCCAAGCAUUGUAAACUUCUUUUGCCAAGGGACAAAAUCAGGCUCGAGAGCCUGACCGCGGGUACUUGUAGAAACAGCAUCGGCAAACUCCGUGCCAGCAGCCGCGGUAAUACGGAGGAUUCGAGCGUUAUCCGGAUUUAUUGGGUUAAAGGGGUGCGUAGUGGGACUGUUAAGUCCGAGGGAAAAGCCCGGGGCUCAACCCCGGCGAGCCGUUGAAACUGGCUGUCUGGAGAUGUCGAGAGGUAUGCGGAAUGCGCAGUGUAGCGGUGAAAUGCUUAGAUAUUGCGCAGAACUCCGAUUGCGAAGGCAGCAUACCGGCGGCGAUCUGACGCUGAGGCACGAAAGCGUGGGUAUCGAACAGGAGUAGAUACCCGUGUAGUC